AUCCUUGAGCAAAUGAACUUAAGACCAGCCUGGGCCACAACGUGGGAACUGCAGUGCUCGAUUCAAUCUGGAAGUCUGAGAUGAGGCAUAGUCUGGUGGAAAUCGAUGCUGGUCCUUGAUGCUGUGUCCGUGAUUCUACGCGAGCAACACGGCCUGGGUGGGGAGGGUGGGGGUCCCUCUCUGCCUGCCCCAUCAAAUUCUACAGACCACGCGGCUUCAUCCAAUCCAAAUAUGAAAAUAGCCAUCCUCCUGUGACACAUAAAGCCAUGAGUAAAUAAAUUUACAUAGCAUCCC
rnacentral:lncRNA from 1 species